CCUACGGGAGGCAGCAGUGGGGAAUAUUGCACAAUGGGGGAAACCCUGAUGCAGCGACGCCGCGUGAGUGAAGAAGUAUUUCGUUAUGUAAAGCUCUAUCAGCAGGGAAGAAAAUGACGGUACCUGAGUAAGAAGCCCCGGUUAACUACGUGCCAGCAGCCGCGGUAAUACGUAGGGGGCAAGCGUUAUCCGGAUUUACUGGGUUUAAAGGGAGCGUAGACGGCAGUGCAAGUCUGGUGUGAAAGGCGGGGGCGCAACCCCCGGACUGCUCAGGAAACUGUACGACUGGGGUUCAGGAGGGAGAAGGGGAAUUCCUAGUGUAGGGGUGGAAUGCGUAGAUAUUAGGGGGAACACCAGUGGCGAAGGCGACUUACUGGACUGUAACUGACGUUG
rnacentral:rRNA from 1 species